GAGGACGUUCAUCCGGAGGAGCCCUUCAGCCACUGUGGUGUUCAUCCCUGGAUCCAGUGCUGCAGGCUAAACCCUCCUAGGGCCUGCAGCUGGCUGCUGUUGAAGGUGGUUCGGUUCCUCCUCUGCUUCUUCUUCCUCUUGGCUGCCCCACGGCUCGGGCUCAGGCUCUCACCUGCACAGAAGAGGCCAGGUCAGACCCAGACCCAGAACCCAGGAACUAUCCCUCCCCGAAGAUGCUCAAGAAAGGCGGAGUCGUUAAUCACCCAUCUGGGUGCCCACUGAAGAGCUGUGCAGGGCCCCAGAGGCUGCUCUCCACUGGAGCAGUUCUGCUGCUUCAAGCCAGCACCAAGCUGCUGAGCAGGAGGGAACGAAGAGCUCCAAGACCUUCAUGGCCAGAAAAGCCUUCUUGGACCUUAGCUAUCCACAGAGGCAAGAGCCAUGGGAGCUGGGAGGUGCUGAGUGACUCUGCUGGCAUGGAGAGCUCGGACUGGAGUUCAUUCAGGCUGUGUCUUGCCCCCAGCACCUUUCUGCCAUGAAAUUAUUUCACACCUCCCAGCUACUUGUGAGCACUUGGCCAAAAUCCUUUGAAACUUCACAUUUUUCACACUUCCCUCUGCCCCCCAAAGCCAAAUGAUCAAAUCUGCCCUGAGCUGCCUUCCCUUCUCUGCCUGGAAUGGGUUUGGGUUGUUUGGGUGAUUUUUUUCCCCCCUCUCUUCCCCCCUCAACACUUUUCCCCCUCUUUUUUUGCCCUCUUUCU